GAUGAACGCUGGCGGCGUGCCUAAUACAUGCAAGUCGAACGGGAAUCUUCGGAUUCCAGUGGCGAACGGGUGAGGAAUACAUAGGUAACCUGCCCCUCCGAGGGGGACAACAGACGGAAACAUCUGCUAAGACCGCAUAGCCACAGGGAAGGCAUCUUCCCUGUGCCAAAUGUCCUUUCGGGGACAGCGGGGGGAUGGACCUAUGCCGCAUUAGCUGGUUGGCGGGGCAACGGCCCACCAAGGCGACGAUGCGUAGCCGGCCUGAGAGGGCGGACGGCCACACUGGGACUGAGACACGGCCCAGACUCCUACGGGAGGCAGCAGUAGGGAAUUUUCGGCAAUGGGGGAAACCCUGACCGAGCAACGCCGCGUGAACGAUGAAGGCCUUCGGGUCGUAAAGUUCUGUUGCGAAAGGAAAGGAACGCCGGUGUCAGGAAAUGGGCGCCGGGUGACGGA
rnacentral:rRNA from 1 species